GAGCUUUCUAUUCUUAAAGAUGGUUUGGAAAUCAAAUCUAGAAUACAGUAAUAUCUCUGUCUUUAAACAAAUUAUUAUGCUGUUUAAAUCUUUCUCCUUUCAAAGAAACAAUCCUGGGAUUUUCUAAAUAUAUCUUCUGCUCGCUUCAAUUUUUCUCUCAAGAUUUCUUCUUUAAAACAUAAACAAGACUUGCAGCUCAGCCCGGGCUGCCAACACUGCACACCCAAGCCUGUCCUGAGGGCGGGGUGGGCGGGUGGGCUGAGAGUGGACAAGGCGGGGCCACAUCUUUCAGAUAAUGCUGGGUCUUCUGACCUGUAAGGUGUUAAUCCUGAUCCAAAAUUGACAGCUUCAGGGCAAAAAGCCUAUCUUAACACAAACACCCUGCCAAACCCCUCCCUCAACGGGAGAAUUAGAACAACCUCCUUUACAUUUCUUUGCCAAUCCGCACAGGAAUUCCCUUAAAAAUCACAAUCCGGACAAUGAAAAAUAAAAAAGGCAAAAGUGUUGAUUCACCUAUAAACACAGUGGAGCAAAGGGUGCAUGUGAAAAGGUUAACUGACUUCUCAUGAUGACAUAACCGGAGCAUCUUGAGCAAUCUCAAGUGUGCAGAGACAUGAUAACUCCCUGGGUGGGGAUCCGGGAGUUGAGGGGCAGGGACUGAGGCCUGGUCUGGGCUACUGAUCUACCAGAAAACAGCCCGAAACAGGAAAGAGCACACAUAUGCCACUUGGAAUGUAUGACGCAAACCCCAGCCUUGAAACAAAGAACAGGAAACAGCUCUGCUGGCUGUGCUGGAGAGAAAGCACAGAGAAACAUUUAGCCGGCCCUCUCUGACCCUAUAUUCAUGAGCAGCUGGAGUUUUUUAAGACAACAACAGGGGGGUGGAGGUGUUUGUUCUAUGGGUGUGAAUAAUAACACCAGCUUUAUACAGGGACCUGCCCUGUUUACAAACAGGAGCUGCCACAUAGAGCCAGCAUCACAGCGAACAUGUGACUUUAUCCUAUCUCUGCAGCAGAGCCCUUGCACAGUUUCUUUUGUCCCUCGAUGCCCCAUCCCUGUGGCUGGUCCCUAGCCCUGAUCGAAUUCUGCGUUCUGCUAUCCAUAGCCCUGCAGCCCAGGAGCAUGAAGGGAAGGCACUGCUGCCUCACAUUACAACCGGGCUGCCCCCACACAACUGAGCUGCACCAGUUGAGUCCUCUUUCGUCACAGAACUACAUUUCAAGCCCCAGGACUGUGGGACACCUACAAUCGGCCAGUGUUGUCACUGUUUCAAACACAUAGCUGCAGACACGUUGCAGACAGCUGCUCCUCUGCUCCACACACAUCUACAGAAAUUCACCUUCUGAGAAGGUCUCUACUAAACAGCUGACUAAGGUCAAAUAACAUACCUCAUGCUCCAACUCCAAGCCAAAGAAACCAUUCGUGGACUCUUUAAACAAUACUAACAACUUGCAAAAUUUUAGAGAUGUGGAUGCUAGCAGAUCGUUUUUUCUCUAAAAACAAGCCUUCCCGAUGGUGAGACAGAUUACUAUCCAGAUGGAUUUCUUAUAAAAAUGCUUCUCAAAUUCAAACAUACAAGCGCUUACAAAAGGACAGCACAAAAUUGC